ensembl:snRNA U6 U6 spliceosomal RNA
AAUAAACUAAUUAAUUACUUGAUUGAAUUAGAGGAAUAAAGGGAUUAGCAUGGCCCCUGUGUAAAAAAGACAUACAUAUUCAUGAAGCAUUCCACAUUUUU